rnacentral:lncRNA from 1 species
GCCUCGUCUCAGCUCCGCGAGCCCUCCGCCUCCGGCUCUGUCCAGUACUGGUCUUGGUCUAAGGUCCUUCUUUUCUUAUGCAUCCAAGCUGUUCAAUGAAUUGCCUCUGUUAAUAGCUCGCAUUGUUGUUAAAACUUUGAAAUUUUGAUAUGCAGCCUCAAGUUGAUGUUAAGAGCUUCCCAGCAGAACAAAUCAAGCCGCUCGCUGCUAACAGUGAGGGCACGUAUAUUGUUGGCGGAGGUUUAUCUGGGAAUAUCUAUUUGUGGGAGGUUAGUUUUCUUAAGCUUUCUAAUUUCUCUUUUUCAGAACAAUUUUAGUUCAAUUUUGUUUUUGUUUUUUUGGCCUUCAAAUGCUGAUAGGCAUCGUUUUUGUCCGUGUUAGGUUGCUAGUGGUAGACUGCUUAAGAAAUGGCAUGCUCACUACAGAGCUGUCAGUUGCUUGGUAUUUUCAGAUGAUGACUCUCUUCUAAUUUCGGGGUCGGAGGAUGGAGGCAUUAGAGUUUGGUCCCUUUUAUUGUAAUCACUUCUUAUCUUCACCUUUUUAUGUACUUAUACAAUGUCAGUUGUUAAUUAUGCACUGAAAAUGGCUAAAUAUCUUUUGAUUGAUUUUUUUUUUUCCAGAAUAUUUGAUGAUUUUCGAAGGCAACAGCGAAGCCAACUAUACGAGCAUGAUUUUACAGGGCACGCUCUAUGUGUAACAGAUGUCGUCACAGGAUACGGUGGAGGCAAUGCCAUUAUCGUGUCUGCGUCACUGGAUCGCAGAUGUAAGGUAGGGCAUGCUCUUUAGUAAUUUAUAACCUGUAUUUGGUAUACUAAUAAAGUUUUGUCAAAAUGGAAUGAUUGUGUGCUCAACAAUGAUGGCUAAGAAAAUUAAAAUGGGGUCUGGGUAACUAUAAGAAAAUGAUUCACGAAUUCACCAUUCAUGUGUGGAUUGUUUCUCUUGAUACAUUGAUUUUCUACUUUUUUAAAUGCUUAGGAUUUUGUGUUGGUUUUUUGUAGUAUGUACUUCUUAUAAGUCCCACAAUAUCUCUUUCAUGUCUUGUGCAUAUUAUCGUAAUGUUGCAUUCUUCUUCAUCCCCAAAAACAAAAAGUGAUGCAUUCUUGUAAAUACUGUGUUUGACAUUUUUCUCCAUCUAGUGUGUUUGAUUUUGAUUUGGAUGUACAUUUUCUUAGGUUUGGAGUAUAUCAAAAGGGAAACUAUUGAGAAAUAUUGUUUUCCCCACAAUAGUUGAUGCAAUUGCACUGGAUCCUGGUGAACAUGUCUUCUUUGCCGGUGGUAGAGAUGGCAAGAUAUACGUUGCUGCACUUAAUGCUGAAAGCACAUCUGACAGCAAGUAUGGGUUGCAUAUCAUCAAUUGUUUCUCAAAUCACAGGUUCCUCUCUUUUCCUAUAGUGAACCAUUUCAUGCACUUAUAGAUAUUCCAAUACGUAGUUUUCUUUUAUUCCUAUGAUUUUUCUUCAAUUACACGCCUCUUAACUUUUUACUGUGUGUAUUUUCCUUUUUCAAAGUAUAGUAUACCUGCCAAAUAUUGCUACAUUUUUUCUAAGAAUCCUGCAUUCAUACAUUCAGUUGUGACAGGCUUUGCAUUUCUGGUAAAAUCAGCAUACUAUAAAUUAGAGCGAGGAACUUUUUUUAAAAUAUAUUUGUAAUGAGCAAACCUCCUUUAUCUCACAACUUUAUAUUUUAAUUUUUCAACAGCAAUACUGUAACUUGCUUAGUGUACAGUAUUUCUGGAAAUUGUUUGAUUUCUGGAUCGGAGGAUGGCGUGGUUCGAGUUUGGGAUGCUAAAUCUCAUAACAUCAUCCGUGUGUUCAAACAUGCAAAAGGUAAUCUCAAUGCUAUGCUAAUUAUUGCUUUCUUGCUUGCAUUAGGUUUUUUUUUUUUUUGGGUAAAGCUUGCAUUAGCUUUACCGUGUUUCAUUUUACACGUUUUAUUAUGACUUUUAAAUGUCACUGUUGUCUGUAUUUAUGCCAUGUCCUAGCAAUUUGAGUUGCCUAAUGAACAAUGGCAUCAUACGCCAUCUUUGUUUUUAACCCAUAGCGAAUAUGUAGUCUUUUAAUUUUUUUAAGCUUGAAUAUUCUCUCCUAGUACAUUUGAAAUUCGACUUUCUUAGUUAUUUAUGUUCAAUCUACCAGUUUUUCUUUAUUUUUUUAGUAUAUUUGCAUGAAAUUUUCACUGUAUAAUGCAGGUCCAGUGAACAAUAUUCUAGUCAUUAGACAACAACUUUCUCAGAUGAAUUCGCAAUCUUCCUCCAGAAGGCAUGGUUCAUCAUUGCCACCUCCACUGGAAAAGUAUCCAAUAGCUGAAGACCCAACAGACCUUAAGGCUGUCAUUGGUCGCCAGGCUACAUGCAGUAAUUCUACAGAAGCAUUGUACCCCAGGUCUGAUGGGAUUAAUGGCCAAAUCAAAGAGCUUCAGGUAUUUUAUGGCUUCAUAAAUAUUCUUAAUACACUUUUUAUAGGCAUUUCUAGAGUGUGGGGGUGCAUAUGCGUGGGUACACGCACCAUAUUUCUAACAAUGUUUCUUAAUCAUUCAACCACUGGAAUUGAAUGACAUAUCUUCAUGGAUGUCAAACCUCAACUUUAACCUUUUAUUUUUGCCUUCAUUUUCAGCAACAAGGUUCUGCCUCAGCCGAAAUGGAGAUCGAGAGACUAAAGCAUGAUUACGAAAGAUCAAUACAAAUGGUUCAGCAGUGGAAGAAAAUGUAUGACAACUUGCAUCAGUUCUGUGUAAAUGAGCUUUUGGAUGGUGAUCAAGUAGGAAUCCCAAAUGGAAAUGCCGCCUGAAAAUAGGUACCCGAUAGCUUCCAAUCCGUAAAUGGUUACAAGAUGCACCGUUUGUUCUUGUUUUGUCUUUGUGAUCAGUUUCCACAUUCUUAAAUUUUUGUCUCUCUUUUCUUUUUUCCUCCUUUUUGGUUGACUAAACAAAUUAUUCUAUGAAAGGUUAGUUAAGAGAUGAGAUUGCAUAUCCUUUUAAGUUCUGAUUCAUUUUAGCCUUGUGUCGGUAAGAGAACUAUUAAGUGGUAACUUUUACUUAUGAAUUGUUGAGUUUUGAUUCAAAUGAAAUACGAGUAUCUCUUUACAGGUAAGGAUGCAAUCAUUAUUCUUAUGUUUGUGAAAAAACCAAACUUAUUUGAUUUGUGUUUAAUGCUAAAAAAACAAAACAAAACAAAACAAAACAAAAACAAAAAAACAAAAUCAUGAUUGAUGUCAUCUGAAGAAGCCAAUAAAUUUGAGUGUUGCUAUUUCUACCCCCUUCCUAUUUCCCCACACACCUUAUCUUUCUACCCACCAUGUAAAUUUUUGAAAACACAAUUCUAUCUUUCCAUCUUAUGUUGUACAGACAUGGACACAGGGACAUGAACACGGCAAUUAAAAUAGUAAUAAAUUCUAAUAAAAUUCUAAUAGUAUAUGCUUAUAUAUAUAUAUAUUUUUUAAAUCUUGCUCAAAACUUCAAUGUCAUAAUACCAUAAAAAUAAAUUCAUACUCAUUUGAGUUAACUUAGCAUUACUCAUCUUUCCCUAAACAAAAUAAAGAGUGAUACACAUAUUCAUGAUUCAUCAUAAACCAAAUUUCACACAGUUUUCGUAUAUCUAUCAUCUUCAAAAUAAGGAAAACAAUUUCCCACUUCAUAAAAUAAAAAUCGAGUUUGCAUAAAUAAAUAAAUAAAUAAUAAAAAAUAAACAAAGUGAAUGAAUUAUCCACUCAAAAAGAUGCUUUUCCCACGACCAAAUUGCUUUCAAUAUCCUUAAUCAACUAAAAAUAUCUGCUCUACAUAUUUUAAAUAAAAACUUUUAAAAAUUAUUUUAAAUAUGUCCUCAUAUUUUCAAUAAUUAUGUUUUGACCCCAGUUGUUAUUUUGUAAUUUUCAAAAUGAUCCCUGCCUUGCCGUGUCUUGACUUCAGUUAACCAUGUCUAAAAGUGUCUUGAUCAUAUCCAAAAUGUGUCUUGACCGUUGACCUGUGUUCAAGCCUUGUCCGAGGUGUGUCCGCGUGUUUGACACUCCGACACGUCGGCCUGAUAGAGUGUCGUACUAUAUAGUUUUCACCCACCAUUAUUCCUAAAAUACUCUUUAAUUAUUAAUUCAAGCAUAUUCUCAAUAAAAAUAAAAUUAAAGCCGAGUUGGUGACAUUAGUAAGUUGGGUGUGCUAAAUAAGCAAUCCCUCCUGCACCAUGGCUUUCUAUCAUGCUUAUUAUUCAUUUAGUAUUGUAUGGGAUAAAGCCUAACCAUAGGCAAAGGAUUAACGGCCCCUUUGUUGGGACUGCUGGCAAUCACCUUGGAUAAGCAAUCCCAUAAAAAUGCCAGGAAUUAAUAAGCCUACUUUUAAUUAAUUAUAGAUCUCGUUAUUUCUUUCAACCUUGUAAAAGAGAUGGAGAUCAAUUGAGAUGGGCAUGAGACGUGAGGUUACAGACCUUAGAAAAGUUAGGGUUAAUUUCAAUUUUAAUUUUAGUGAAAACUGUUUUGAGAAAUGAAUAAAAUAAAAUAAGUGGGUUAUGUAAGUGGAGGUUUUUUUUCUUAAAUUCUUAUAAGUCAUUUUAUAAAGAGAUAAAUUUGUCCUUAAAUUUUAAAGUUAAAGUAAGUGGAAAAAUAAGAUAUGAAAUGGAAAUAGCAGCACUUACAAAUUUAGAGGGAUAAUAUAACACAAACUCCGAUGUGUGCAAAGCCCAAUAUUUGGUGUUUUUGACAAAAACCAGCCACAGUAAAUUAAGUCUGCUCUGUCUCUGCUGGACCAAAGUCCUUCUUCUCCACACCCUUUUCCUUCAAAAGACUGAAAGUGGCCACCAUUUUGAAAAUGAACACACACCAAACUUGGAACCCAAACAAGUGCACAAGAUGCUCUUUGACUGUCUGAUUUGUCCAAUUGGUGCUGCCACAAAACUGCAAAACCAUCCAAUCUGAAAUUAUGAAAAUUAUGAAAAUCAUGCAGAGAGAGAGAGAGAGAGAGAGAUCAAAUAGGGGACCAUUUGUCAUUAAAUUAAUAUAAUUUUUUAUUCAUUUAUAAUAUGCAAUAAGUUAUUUUUCUUCUCCACAUCAGUGUCUGCUCGCGAUUCCCAAUGGAGGAGGGGAGGUAAAGGCUAAAGAAAGUGGGAGAAGCAAAGAAGAAUUAUUGGGGAAAAUAUGUCUGUUUGCUUGCUGGGUUUGGUGGUAUUAUAAUAUAGCUAGCCAGGUACAAGUAUUAUAAAUGUGGCUGUGGGGAAGAAGAUAAGGAACCAGUGAUAAUGCAAAGUUAAAAAUCCCACCCAACAGCAAGAUCUCUC